rnacentral:lncRNA from 1 species
UAUGACGCCAAGGCGAUAAAUAAAAGCGCUCCUAAGCUUAAGAAAACAUAACAUAGUCAACUGUUUCUGUUUACAAGUUCAUUAAUUAUAUUUAUAUAUCCAGAUAUUUUAUAUAUAUAGACGUCACAGAACUUAUGACCUCAUAUUUGGCUUCCACUUGAUAUAUAAUGAAUCCAGUAAUAAUAAGUAUGAUCUAGAUUAUGAUUUAUGUUCUUACCAUAAUCCCAACUUCUCAAUAAAAAACAGAAAUAGAUUUACAAUGUUAUGAACGCUUCCCCAAUAGAGCUAAACCAAGAUGCCAUUAAAAACCAGACAGUUUCUGAAGAACAAUUGGAAGGACAAUUCGUAUACAACAAUUAAGGCAAAACUAAUCAAGAUUCUGGUCCCAAAAAAUGGAGAAAGCUAUCGAGACAUUUCAAACUCUUUUCAAUGAUUAUAACGUCGAGUUUAAAGAAUGAUGUCAUUCUAGCAUCACGUUUUCUUAAUUAUGCUUUAGUUUGGGCAAAAAUCCCGACCUGCUUUUGGAAUGACUCAACUUUUUAUCAAAUACUUAGUUAGAAUAAAAAAAUAUGGGACUACAAGUACAAGUCUCUAAAUUUGUACAUAAAUCCCCGUGUUAUUCUUAAAAAAAGAAGUCGAGCGUGCCAUUUUUGAACUUGUUCUUAAUUAUAUAGCUACAAAUAUUUAUUUUCAAAGUACUUCAUAUCUCUAAAAUUAUUAAUACAUUCUCUCUUACGACAAAAUACCCACCCUCAUAUACCUUUGCAAGGAGAAUCUAGGCUUGGUUCAAGAUUCAAUUUCUGAAGUAAUUGACAUGCAAAUUUAAGAAAAUGCAGUUGUUCCCAAGAGCUAGGAAAGAGGAGGAUGCCACUGACUAUAUGGGGUAGUCCAGCCCGACCACAUCCCCCCAUCUCGUCUGAAGGAGAUAUUAAGGGUUGAAGUCAACAGGUGGUCAAAAGUCCGGUAGAGUAGUUCCUAGAAAAUAUCCCCUUAUGACUUCCCCCAGGAGUUCAGGGUAGCCAGGCUGGACUUUUUUGUCCAGUACAAUACAUUCCUGCAGGCGUGAUGAGGCUCUUUAGUGUGGGUUCAGACAUUUUACGGCCAAAAAGGUCUUCCCUUACCUCCCACAAUUUAGAAAAUAUAGUGAGUGGAAUCUUGGGACUGCUUUUGAAAAAGGAUUUGAUAUUUGAUUUUUUUAUUAAUCAUUUCUCAUUAUAAUAUAUCUAUUUUAAGUUAUUUUUUACUAAUAUUUUGUUUAUUAUUAUAAUAAAGUAAUAUUUAUUAUUAUCAA